AUGAAAAUAUUUGCUUCGUCCUCCGGCACCGGCCAAGCAGACUCCACAUCCAAUCGCCCACGCCUCCUCUCGACCCAGGCACAUCGCAUCCUUCCCUCACCCCUGCCGCCUCUAUGCCACUCCUAACCCUUUCUCUUCUCAAUCCGGCUCCAUGGAGGUGGCCGGCAGGGAGGACGAGGAUGUGGAGGAGGGCGCUGCCGAUGGCGCCAGAAGCAGCUCGACAAGAACCACCGUCACGCGGAGGCAAGUCGCCAUCGACACGGCCUCUUCGUCUGCGCCAUCAAGGGCCAACAGCUCCAGAUCCGGGAGCAUCUUCCCGGAGGCGGAGCCGGCGACUCCUGAUGCACCUGGUGAUGGCCGGGGUAGCGAUCCAGUCGACCUUCUGGAUGUUGGCUUCCUCACUAUGCUGCAACCACCUCCUCCGCAGGUGGACGAGUGCUACGAGCCGGCAGUUCCUGAAAAUUUUCUUGCAACCGGUUGAGGUUUUUCUCUGACCAUUCCUCCGAGAUUCCGGUUUUUUUUAACACUGUUUGUGAAAAGAGAGGUGAGAAAGGAAGUGCUGGACUAGCUGUUGCGAUGGGGAUUAAUUCAAAAGAUUAGAGGAGAUAAGUCAGCAAAGAUUUAGGUGAUGUUCCUGCUGCUAAUGUGUAUGCGACUGAAAAGUCAGAGGGUAGAAGAGAAAAUUUUGCUGCUAAUGCAUAUACAAAGAGAGAGGGUUGAUGUUGCUAUUUUGUUCCCUAUUAGAAUUGGUCGCUCUAUGGGAUUCUUAUCGCAUUUUCUUGAUCUGGGGUGAUUUUGUGUCCUUUUAACUGAUGCAUGUCGUGUGUGGGUUCUGUGGGGAUUCCACCAUUAGCAGAAAGAUCAAGGCAAUGUGAUAACUUUAUGAGGACAUAUUUUGUGUCUAAAUCUGCUGAGUUAUAUGAUGUGUAACAUGGCAGUGUUGCUGAAUGGAAGGAGGUAAUUUGCUUGCUCUUUCUAAAUUUGUUGGUUUCUUCAUGCUAUAUUGAUUAAUAUUGUAAUAUUUAAUAUUGUUUUGUCGGCUCCCUUGUUGUUGUGAUCUUCGUGUUGAAAAGGCAGUACGAACACUCGAUUAGAGGAUCCUGCUAGGCCUCUCUACCUCAUAGAAUUUGAUAUGGGUUGCCUUGUUCCUCUCAUUCUUAUUCUUCUCAGAAUUUAGGGUUGGGCGUUGAACAUACAUGCACAGGUUGGUUUCAGUUUUCUGUGUAAACUGAAGCAGGGGAUAAGUCAAUAUACAUAUGUCGUGUUCCAGAUUAGAAAUUAAGAGAAGAGAGAGAGAAACGAUUGGUUAGUAAAAUAUGUAGCUGCAAGUUUACAUAGUGGAAUUGCUGACCAAAGUUUUUCUCUAAUGUACAUUUCGGAAAUUCCUAAUACUUAAAACUUGUUUUUCAGCCCGUUUUCUGUCAUCAGAAAAUACAAAUAGCAUUUUUUUAAUCAGUUAACAGUAUGAACAGUCAGCUAACAAUACAAAUAUGGUAGCAUUUUUCAGCCUAUUACUUACUGAAUGCGAGUCAUUGGCAUUUUUUCAGUCGGUUAACAAACAGUUUUUCAGUUAGUUAACAAAUAGCAACACUUCAGAAGCUUUUUUAGAUAAGCUACAGAGAUAAGCAACAGUUUUUCAAUCAGUUAACAAACAGCAGCACAACAGUUUUUCAGUCACCUGAUCUUUGUCCAAUUUUUUCUCGCUUGUUAAAGGUCACCAUUGUAUUCGACCUGGGAACCUACAUACAGAUUUUCAUCUAUGAUAUUUCAGCAUCUUCUAUGCUUCCAAUCUGUUAAUUUAAUUUUACUUAUAAACGGCACAACCUUCCCUUCUCCUUUUUCGUGUGUAGAAUUGAUGAUUGAUGUAGUUUCACUGAAUCAAAAUACUGAUGCCUUUUCCCUUCUCCUUGACAGCUUUGCGAGAGCUAGGAAAGUAUUGGUGGAAUCUCAUGAAGAAGAGAGACAGAUAAUGUUUGAGGUGAAUUCCUUCACCUGCCCUGCUUAUGGGAAAUUCUGCAAUGAUGCCCAGCGGCACACCACUCUCAAGUCUGAGAUGAAUUCCUUCACCAGAGGUUCUCCUUCGUGAGCUACGUCAGCGCUCAGAAGGCAUGCAUCGAAGCCCUUGACGGCUGGUUGUCCAAGUUCAUCCUAACAGACACCAUUUGUUACUCCCGGGGGAUCUCCUUGAUUGCGCCCGACAGGGCUGGCACGCCGCCUCUGGUGGUGAUCAUGAGUGGCACACCAUGCUGUCGACGACUGGAUCGAUCCUCCUCACUAGUGACUCCGGCAUAGGACUUGGCGAUGGGGAGAGGUCGUUCAGCGCUGCGGAGAGCUGGUGCCAAGAACUAACUGUUGAUAUGUGGAAUCAUAUUUAUUAAAUAAUUAUCAGUUUGACUUAUUCGCUUGUAUUCAAACUGUACUGCAUUUUUGUUUGAGUCAUGUUUUUUCAUGUUCAUGAUAGUUCUUAUAUACUGUGCUUCUCAUAAUUUGGGUGGGACUUUUUAUAGAGGUAACCUUUGGUAUUAUUGAGUGGUUUUCAACUAAUUUGUGAAAGCAAUUGGUUUUGUUUUCCGUAAUCAGAUGUAGAAUUUGCAUAGUAGAAGGUAUCAAAGCGAUGCAUAUAUUGUGAAAUGUGUCUAUCUAGCUGGUCUUAGUUUCAGCUAGAUAACUUUAUGUUCAUUGAUCCUGAGUAUAAUGGCUUUGUGUUUUUUUGUCCUGCUGUAAGCAAUUCUUUAUUGUGUGGAGUUUGUCAGUAUAAUUACUUGAUGAAUUUGGUUAUUUUUCAACAGAUAGCUGAAGAAGAUUAGGUGAUUUGGCAAUUCAAUUGCUGAAAAUGUUGCAUGCAAUGGAGAGCCAUAUAAGUGUGCUUGCAGUGUCUACUAUUGAUUCUAUGCAUCGUUCAGUUCAAAAGAGUAUAGGACAGCAUAAAAAGGACAGUGGAAGGGACGCCACCUACCUGGCACCGCAAAGCUUCCGCUCAGGCGACGCAUCAGGGGUGUGCCUCCGUGUCCAUGUCGGUAGCCUGCACUGUGCGGGCGAGUCAGAUUUUUACCGUGGAGAAAAAAAUGCAGCAAGUGCGGGCGACUUCCUCUUAGUGUUACUAUAAAACUUAUUGGGCAAUCAUAUUUAAUUGUUGAAUGUGUUUAAUCUGGUUGGGAAUAAUCCACUACCUAAGGGGAUCAAGAUCUCCGAAAUAUUAUUGUUUGUUCAAAGGUUGUUUGUUCUGUUAUCAGUUAGAAAUUCUAUUGCAAGUUCACAUGUUCAUCAGCAAUUAGAGAAAAAAGGGGUGAACGGGUCGCUUAUCAAUUUGGCACCGCACAAACUUCCUCUCAAGAGGCGCCACCUCGUGGCGCCCCAACCCCUGGUCUAUAUAGUAAGGGUAACCACCCCUUGGUGGUUUUGGGGGGUUUUAAUGAAAUUUUAUACCCAUCGGAAAAAGAGGGUGGUAUGGCUAGACCACUUGGUAUGAUGAGAGAAUUCGGUGAAUGUCUAAUGGAUUGUGGGCUAGAGGACCUAGGCUAUAAGGGCGACCUGUUCACUUGGAAGAGAGGCGAAAUACGUGAACGCGUGAAUGUCUUGAUCGAGCGGUCUGUAAUAUAGCGUGGGCAAAAAAAUUCCCAUGAGCGGCAGUGAUCAAUGAAGAACAUGUUCAUUCUGAUCAUCGCCCAAUUGUACUGGAUACAGAUUACUUAGAUGAAAAAUCUUUAAACAACCAGAGGGGCGUGUUAAACAGUUUGAGGCGAGGUGGUUGAAGGAAGAAACGGUCACUGAAAUUGUUAAGGCACCGUGGGAGAAAGCAAAACUUGCAGGUAUUGGACCCUCACUUGUUGAUCGUACAAGAGCAGUGCAUGCCGAUCUGCAUAACUGGGACCGGGAAACUCUGAAGGGACCAAAGGUCAGAAUUAGGAAA